CAUUGAAUGGCUGAAAGUAAGCAUUGGUCUCUUAAACCAUAAAAUAGUACUCCGAAUACUUUCAAUGA
rnacentral:tRNA from 1 species